rnacentral:lncRNA from 1 species
UUCAGGGAAGAAAGUCAAUAUUUAGAAUACCUUUGCCAAGUAAAACUUGAGACAUGCUUUCAAAAUCUAGUUUGUACAUACUUCCACAUAAAUUCACUGGACCAAAUCUUUCUAUAAAUGACUAUAUUCUGUAUUAUAGUUAUAAUUUGAUUAAACCUGGAAUUUCAAAGAAAUACUACAAAUUGAAAUAAUGCCUAAAUUAGCACCAUAUGAAAUGGAUCUUUAUAUUUUAAAAAGGUUAGACUGGCCUUAGUUUUAUUUUGAAUGCUAAUAUCAAUUUUUAAAUGCACUCUCUAUAAAGACUAGUGAAACAACCUCAGCUGAAGUUAAUUUAGAAAUAGAAAACUAUACAUAAAUAUAAAAACAAAUCUCUAG